GAUGAAGAACGCAGCGAAAUGCGAUAAGUAAUGUGAAUUGCAGAAUUCAGUGAAUCAUCGAAUCUUUGAACGCACCUUGCGCUCCUUGGUAUUCCGAGGAGCAUGCCUGUUUGAGUGUCAUGAAAUUCUCAACCUUUUCAGCUUUCUUUGUUGAUCAGGCUUGGAUGUGGGAGUAUGCGGGCUUCUCAGAAGUCGGCUCUCCUGAAAUGCAUUAGCGGGACCUUUGUUGCCUGGCUUUGGUGUGAUAAUUAUCUAUGCCAUUGUAGUCAAGCAGCUUAAAAUGAGGUUUCAGCUUCUAACCGUCUCCCCUGAGACAACUUUUUGACAAUUUGACCUCAAAUCAGGUAGGACUACCCGCUGAACUUAAGCAUAUCAAUAAGCGGAGGA
rnacentral:misc_RNA from 1 species